CUUCCAUUUCUCUCUCUCUUUUCUUUUUUUCCUUUUCUUUCCUUUCUUUUUUAUUUUGUGGGUUUUUGGUCUUGAUUAACAAAAAAAAAAGC
rnacentral:ribozyme from 12 species